CAGACGAUGCGUCAUGCAUAUCAAUAAGCGGAGGAAAAGAAAAUAACAAUGAUUUCCCUAGUAACGGCGAGUGAACAGGAAAGAGCUCAAAGUUGGAACCUGCUUGACUUAGUUAAGCCGGAUUGUAAACUGUAGAAACGUUUUCUAGGCAAGCCGAGUUAAAAAGUCCUUUGGAACAGGGCAUCAUAGAGAGUGAGAAUCCCGUCUUUGACUCGAGUAUUUUGUCUUUUUAUGAUACGUUUUCCAAGAGUCAGGUUGUUUGGGAAUGCAGCCUAAAUUGGGUGGUAAAUCUCACCUAAAGCUAAAUAUUUGCGGGAGACCGAUAGCGAACAAGUACCGUGAGGGAAAGAUGAAAAGAACUUUGAAAAGAGAGUUAAACAGUACGUGAAAUUGUCAAAAGGGAAGCGUUUGACACCAGUGUUGUUUUCUCGAAAAUCAAUUAAAAAGAGUUAGAUUUUGUUGUGUAUUGACCUUAACAGCUUGCAUUUCAAUUUUCUUGCUUUUUUUAAUGCACUUUUCGUUUAACAAGUCAACAUCAGUUUCUUUCGUUGUAAAAAGGUCAUUGGAAGGUGGCUUUCUUUUCGGAGAAAGUGUUUAUAGCCUUUGACUCCUGCAAUCGGAGAGACUGAGGUCUGCAGCGUAGAUCCUUCGGGGUUAGAUACAUUUGUGCUAAGUUAUAGCUUUUUAUAGACAACUUGUUGACUAUGAUUAGUCUUGUAGCUUACCCGCUUAUGCUAUUUUACCUACGCUUAGGAUGUUGAGUCGUAGAGCACGCAG
rnacentral:rRNA from 1 species